rnacentral:lncRNA from 1 species
CACAGGGCACCCUCUCCAGAGACCCUUUGCAACCAGGCUGGCUGUUGCUUCAAGGCCAGCAGAAGAAUCACUUCUUUUCAGUUCACCAUGAUAGUCAUAAAUUAUAUUAGCCAGUCAAGAAUGCCGCUUUCCAUAUUCAUCACCUGGUCAUGUUCUCAAGCCUCCAGAUGGUCUCCAAAAGAGCUCGAGAGAUGGCUAUGUUAAGUGGCUUACCAUACAAGUGUGAAGACCUAAGUUUGAAUGCCCAGAAUCCUCGUCAAGACAGGCGCAGUAACAUAUAUCACUAUAUUUGUUUUGGGAGAUCUGGGAUGGGUGGCAGGAGAACCCCAAAAGCUCAAAGACCAGUUCGGCUGGUUGAUGCAAUGAUGAACAACAAUGAUACCCUAUAGCAAAGCAAGAUGGGAGACGAGAAGAGAUACCCAAGCUUGUUUUUUGACCCACAUAAUAUGCCAUGGUAUUUGCAUGCCUGCACUCAUAC